rnacentral:rRNA from 1 species
UCCUUCCGGUCCUUUCUUUCUCCUUUUUUUUUUUGUUUAAAGGGAGCGUAGGCCGGAGAUUAAGCGUGUUGUGAAAUGUAGAUGCUCAACAUCUGAACUGCAGCGCGAACUGGUUUCCUUGAGUACGCACAAAGUGGGCGGAAUUCGUGGUGUAGCGGUGAAAUGCUUAGAUAUCACGAAGAACUCCGAUUGCGAAGGCAGCUCACUGGAGCGCAACUGACGCUGAAGCUCGAAAGUGCGGGUAUCGAACAGG